rnacentral:sRNA from 1 species
CGUUUCCUUCUCUGUACCACGGGAGCGUGGACCAAGGGAUAUCCGAGGCUUUGACCGCUCUGAUCGCCGCGGGGCGGGGCGGCUGCGCCAGCCCUGGUCCUGAGCCCCCAGCCCGGCGCGGGAACUCGGACCGGGAUCUCGGGAGCCGAGCCCCGCGGUCCAGAUGAAGGCGCGAGUGCGCGAGUGCCGGGUGGGGUGUCUGAGCGAGAGCGGAGCUUCUCAGCAGUACAGCCGCCUCAAUUCCUCCAGCCAGACCAACAGCCUCAAGGAUCUGCUGCAGAGCAAGAUCGAUGAGCUGGAGAGGCAGGUGCUGUCCCGGGUGAACACCCUGGAGGAGGGCAAGGGGGGCCCCAGGAACGACACCGAGGAGAGGGUCAAGAUCGAGACCGCCCUGACCUCCCUGCACCAGCGGAUCAGCGAGCUCGAGAAAGGUCAGAAAGACAACCGCCCUGGAGACAAGUU